AGACCUAUAAUUCGCAAUGAAGUUUAUUACCUUCCAAUCCCUUCUAUAACUUGGCAGACAAAGAAAUCGAGGUAUUAUUUGUUGCCCUGGAAUAGACACAUAAGGCUACUUGCUACUGGAUGCGAAUAGUCCAGAACCCUGGCUGUUCUGUUCCUGCUGAUUGAUGGUUCAGGAGGCUGAAAGGAUCAAGAUCUGGGCACUCUUAGGACCCACUGGGCAAACACUACAUGGAAAGUUCUGCAGAUGCAGAAGUCAAGGCACAGGGAUGUGAACAUACGUGGGUCAUGUUUCAUAGUACCUGGACCAAGAGAAGAGGUCUCUCUAUGUUGAGAAAAUGGCAAUGCCUUCCCACAGCAUGGUACUUCUUCUCCUUCUGAGAAUGAUACUGUUACAUAAAGGUUUUCGGCGGUGCCCCAGAACACGGAGAUUUCCUUCUGCCCAGCUGCAUGAGGCACACAUAUCCUGGGAUGGCAUUAGGAAGAUGGCCACUUUCACAUCAACUUAUGUACUCUGGCACCAACCUCUCUUCUCCCUACCCAGCCCAACUUCCCACCCACUGCUAUUGGGAUGAUAUGUGCUCUUGGGUAAGGAAUGCAUAUCCAAAUGCUACCUCAGAUCAGGGAGGUAAUACCUGGCCUCAAUUCUCUGCCCUUAAAGAAUCUUGCAGCCAAAUUGGGUAAAGAGUCAAGACCCAUCGGUGUGCUUUAUUCAGGAGACCCAUCUCACGUGCAAAGACACACAUGGGCCCAAAAUAAAGGGAUGGAGUAAUAUUUACCAAGGAAAUGGAAAGCACACACACACAAAAAAAAGCAGAGGUUGCAAUCCUAGCCUCUGAUAAAACAGACUUUAAACCAACAAAGAUCAAAAAAGACAAAGAAGGGCAUUACAUACUGGUAAAGGGAUCAAUGCAACAAGAAGAGCUAACUCUCCUAAAUAUAUAUGCACCCAAUACAGGAGCACCCACAUUCAUAAAGCAAGUUCUUAGAGACCUACAAAGAGACUUAGACUCCCACACAAUAAUAGUGGGAGACUUUUAACACCUCACUGUCAAUAUUAGGCAGAUCAACAAGACAGAAAAUUAACCAGGAUAUUCAGGAUGUGAACUAAGCUCUGGACCAAGAGGACCUAAUAGACAUCUGUGGAACUCUCCACCCCAAAUCAAUAGAAUGUACAUUCUUCUCAGCACCACAUCGCACUUAUUCUAAAAUUGACCACAUAAUUGGAAAUAAAACACUCCUCAGCAAAUGCAAAAGAAUGGAAAUCAUUACAGUCUCUCAGAUCACAGUGCAAUCAAGUUAGAACUCAGGAUUAAGAAACUCAGUCAGAACCGGACAACGACAUGGAAACUGACAACCUGCUCCUGAAUGACUACUGGGUAAAUAACAAAAUUAAGGAAGAAAUAAAUAAGUUCUUUGAAACCAAUGAGAACAAAGACACAAUGUACUAGAGUCUCUGGGACACAGCUAAAGCAGUGUUUAGAGGGAAAUUUAUAGCACCAAAUGCCCACAGGAGAAAGCAGGAAAGAUCUAAAAUCGACACCGUAAUAUCACAAUUAAAAGAACUAGAGAAGCAAGAGCAAACAAAUUCAAAAGCUAGCAGAAGGCAAGAAAUGACUAAGAUCAGAGCAGAACUGAAGGAGACAGAGACACAUGGACACAGGAGAAUGAGAACACAUGGACACAGGGAGGGUAACAUCACAAACUGGGGCCUGUCAGGGGUGGGGAGUGGUGGGGAGGGAUAGCAUUAGGAGAAAGAUCUAAUGUAGAUGAAAGUUUGAUGGGUGCAGCAAACCACCAUGGCAUGUGCAUACCUAUGUAACAAACCUGCACAUUCUGCACGUGUAUCCCAGAACUUAAAGUAUAAUAUAAUAAAAGAAUCUCAUAGCCAUCAUCUGUUGUAUACAACAGACCUCAAAUUAGUCUCCCUCUGCUUCUCCAACAGUGUGGCCUCUUCUAUGAAGCUGUCUACCCAUGGGUUUCCCCAACAUCCCAUCCCCCAGCCCUCAGGUUUCUCCUCCCCAUCAUCUUCACUUCAGAAAGAGAAAUGAAAAAGAAAUUCAAGUGACUCAUCGGUCCACAUAGGCAGGAGUGGGAGAGGCUGAGAGAGUGAAUUUGUGGGUCCAGAUGAAUAUUUCCGCAGGCCUCUUGACUGCUUCACACGAUCUGCUGUGCUUCAUGAAAAAGAGGAUAUAAAAAUCUGAGUGGUGCCAUAUUGUCUCCAAAAGCAGCCAGAGUGAAAAUGAAGUGUGACUGCUGCCUCCCAAAACGCAGGGCAGCUCCUCCCUCACAUCCACAAAUGUGGUUCAGCGGGCUGCCUUGCCCUGUUUCAGGAAGCCUACGUGGAGGGCACUGUGGAGCCCCAGCCACCUUCUUCACACAGGGCUAUCUGGGGCUUCAGUGCCAGGUCCCCUGGAUACACAGCAGAGUCUGCUGGGGGCACUGACCAGGAUGCCAAUGCAGGGGUGCUUUCUCGGAGGCUCAUCCCACCAGCAGUGCCAGGUUUGACAAGCCCCA
rnacentral:lncRNA from 1 species